UUCUGGAACCUGUGAAUGGAAUCUUACUCGGAAACAAGGUCUUGGCAUAUGUAACCUAGUUAAGGUGAGGUCAUAAUGGAUUAAGGUGGCCCCUAAUCCAACGAUGGGCGUCCUUUUAGGAAGAGGGAAAUCCGUACACAGAGAGAGAUGCACAGGGAAAGGGCCACAUGAAGGUGGAGGCAGACACUGGAGUGUUCCAGCCACGAGCCGAGGAAACCCAGGAAUGCCAGCAAGGCAGCGAGGAAGGACCCUCCCGUAGAGGCUUCAGAGACAGAAUGGCCGUGUCGUCACCUUGACUUUGGACGUCUAGCUUCCAGAACCAUGAGAGAACGCACUUCUGUGGUUUAAUGUCAUCCAGUUUGUGGUAUCUUAUCAUAGCAGGCCUAGCUAACCGAUACACUCAGAGCACUCUGUAUCUCCCUUCGCAGUGUAAAAUUGCCGGCAUCUUCCAACAGCUACGGGGCCCUUUUAGAAAAGUUAACACAAGGUCAAACUCGUGUUAGGUCGAGUAGAACCUGACAAGCCAGAAGUGUCUGUAUCCAGCCGUCAGGGGACUACCUGGGAAUUUAGGCCGAGAUCUCAACACCAGGGCCGAAAGUCUCUCCUCACUAUGGGCGCAGGGCACAAGGCGCAAAUCUGGGGGCAGAAAGAGGGCGGGGAAGACUGUCAUUUCUACGAAUUCUAGGCCGAAAACCUUGGAGGCCACCGCAGGGCGCCGCGCGGGUUCCCACCCCGGGGUAGCGGCCGUGGGGACUGAAGAAGACAGUUCAAGCAAUGAAGCAAAAUGCCAUCGUCAAAAUCCACUUACGUGCUUAAUGGUGCGGGGCCGUGGCAGAGCCGGGAGCAAGCUGACGCGGCCACUCUGCAGGCGGAGACCAACUGCAGGGCCAUUAGCCAGUGGGGCCCAGCCGCAUGCAGGAGAGCCACUUCCAAACUUCCCUCCCUGCCAGGCUCAUCUCAGACCCUCAAAUAUUUGUUUCCUCCCCUUGUGCACUGGCUCUGGCAUGUGGCUAGAGCUCAAAGCCGAAGAGAAUUUCCUAAGAGCUCCUGGCUCAAGACUCUCUAAACUGAAGAGAAGGUGUUGACCCAACCAAAGAAGGUGUUGCUAUGGCUUUGGUUCUGUAAGUGAGAGCAGGAAGAGAAGGGGUGGAGGAGAAGGGAACGUGAGGGUCCAGGGGAGGUAGGCAAGGGGCGGGCUGGACCAGUCGUGUCCGCACUGCACGGGCCAGCAAUGUCGCAACAGACUUGGGUUUCGGUGUAAUGUCAUUACUGCUUAUCGAGGGAAAAUGUCAGCUGGCAUUUACUGAAUGCCUAACACAUGCCAGGCCCCCAGUUCUAAGUUCUCACACACAUCGGCUCAUUUAAGACAACAAUGUCCUGUGGUCAGCAGAGCUGAUCUUUACCCUCUGUGUACCAGCAAACAGUGCCUACUGUUUAAGGUCAGCUCAUUCCUAACUAGCUUACGGCCUGGACAUAGCACCCUUGACCUAGUAAUUUCAAUAUCACCCCUGGAGUAGGUAGCAUUAUUAUCCCCCUCUUACCGAUGAGGAAAUAGGGACAGAGUAAGGCAAAAUGGUGCCCAGAGCCCGAGGUCAUAAAUGGAGGCUGGCCCAAGGCCCCUCUUCCUAACUACAGGAUUUAUGGUCUCACAUUUGAAAUAAAACACAGUAAGCGAAGCAGGGGGCAUGCCUGGAAUCACCCAAGAAGUUUAAAGACGAGUACAGGAACAAACAAAAAGCCUAAGUCAGAAAAGAGGCAACAUUAACACCCAUGGGUCUUGGAUUUCUUCUGCACAGUGAAUGCCAUGGAGGCAAGUGAGUUUUUCUCCGAAGGGCUUAAUGGACGUAGCGAUAAACCACAGUGAUAUUCUCUAGACUCUUGUAAGUUCCAGUUUUGUUUUGUGAAGUUCAACUUCUUCAGAAAGCUUUUGAAAUUCAGCCCUUAACCAUGGCUUGCCAGGUCUCAGCUCUGGAGGAGAAGGACAUCUCAAUCACAUGAGCAGGAACGGAGGGCAUGACUCCCGGAGAGAGGCCCGGCGGCAUGGUGGGGGGCAGGGGAGGGGUGUGAUGAAAGGCCCACUGAAGCCCAGAUGGCUUUAACAGUCCCUGGGAAGUAAGUGGAUAGAUUCCCGGGGCUGCCACAACAAAGCAAUGUAAACUGAGCGCCUUUGAGCAACGGAAAUUUCUUCUCUCACAUUUCCGGAAGCCUACAAUCAAAAUGUCGGCAGGACCAUGCUCCCUCUGAGACUCUGCGUGGACCCUUUCCCUGCGUCUCUUCAGCUUCCAGUGGCGGCUGGCACUGCCUGACACUCCUUGGCUCGCGGCUGCAUCAUCCUGCCUCUGCUGUCACCAGGCCCUCUUCCCUUUCUUCACGCUGUCUUGUUAUAAAGACACCCUACUUCAGUACGACCUCAUCUUAACUAAUCCAAUAAUCCAACCUCAGUCACCCCAAUUCCAAAUAAGGCCACAUUCUGAGGCACCGGGGCUUAGGAGUUCAACAUAUCUUUUGGGGGGAUGCGAUUCAACCUAGAAGAGUAACAUUCUUGCUUUCCAAUUAUUAAAGAAAAGAAGCAGAAGUGGGAUGCCCGUGAAUGUCACCCUGUUACACAGUAGGCAGGGUGGCUGUCACUCACCAUGGAAUAAUUUUAGAAAACAAAGGAGAGCUGGGUGGAUGUCUGGAUGAGUCUGCUAGAGCUGUGGCCUCCACCACAUUUGGUGGCCUCCGCGACAGAAAUUGGGCCUUUCACCGUCCAGUAGGCCGAAAGUCCCAAACCAAAGUAUCGGCAGGUUGGCUCCUUCUGAGGCUGGUGAGCACGGGUCUUUUCCAGGCCUCUCUCCUUGGCUUCAAACGGCCACCUUCCCCCUGUCUGUACCUCUGCAUCCAAAUUUCCACGUCCCGACUUUCUGGGGAAUUCUGCACACGAGCCAGGUACGAGGGCCCUGGUGGAAUGGCUCAACUACUGCUGAAGUUUGAUAAGGAUAAUACCUCAGACUCCAGUUUUGUGCACUCUCUCUGCUAGCCCUGUAGCAUCAGGCUUACAAGAAAACAUUACAUGUGGCGCCACCCAGAGGCAGAAGAUGAGAAAGACGAUCAAAAGGAAAGGAAGAGUUUCUGUCCCCACCCCCAACCCUCCCCUUUCCUCCCCCUUUUAUGUUUCUUGGUGAUCCUUUUUCCAAACUCGCCCUUUCAACCCUCUCAUGGAUUUCUGCCAUCGCACAGGAGCAAUGACCAGUCGUGCUCAAGAAAUGGUUGGAAACAGUACAAGCAAAUAAAAUUCAGGUUCCA